rnacentral:rRNA from 1 species
GACGAACGCUGGCGGCGUGCUUAACACAUGCAAGUCGAACGGAAAGGCCCUGCUCUUGCGGGGUUCUCGAGUGGCGAACGGGUGAGUAACACGUGAGUAACCUGUCCUUGACUUUGGGAUAACUCCAGGAAACUCGGGCUAAUACAGGAUAGGAGCUCCUGCUGCACGGUGGGGGUUGGAAAGAUUCGGCGGUGGGGGAUAGACUCGCGGCUUAUCAGCUUGUUUGUGUGGUAGUGGCUUACCAAGGCUUAGACGGGUAGCCGGCCUGAGAGGGUGGCCGGCGACCAUACGACUGCGGUACGGAGCAGACGCGUACGGGAGGCAGUGGUGGAAAGUAUUGCGCAAUGGGCGGGCGCGAGUUAUAGAGGCGCUGGGUGCGGGAUGCUGUCUUUCGGGUUAUAAACCGCUUUCGCCUGUAACGAGGCGUGAGUGACGGUACUGGGUAAGAAAGCACCGGCUAACUACGUG